GACGAACGCUGGCGGCGUGCUUAACACAUGCAAGUCGAGCGGUAAGGCCCUUUCGGGGUACGACGAGCGGCGAACGGGUGAGUAACACGUGGGUGACCUGCCCUCAGCUCUGGGAUAAGCCUGGGAAACUGGGUCUAAUACCGGAUAUGACUCCAUGACGCAUGUUGGUGGGGUGGAAAGCCUUGUGCGGCUGAGGAUGGGCCCGCGGCCUAUCAGCUUGUUGGUGGGGUGAGGCCUACCAAGGCGACGACGGGUAGCCGGCCUGAGAGGGCGACCGGCCACACUGGGACUGAGACACGGCCCAGACUCCUACGGGAGGCAGCAGUGGGGAAUCUUGCGCAAUGGGCGAAAGCCUGACGCAGCGACGCCGCGUGAGGGAUGAC
rnacentral:rRNA from 1 species